rnacentral:rRNA from 1 species
AUUGAACGCUGGCGGCAGGCCUAACACAUGCAAGUCGAACGAGUGGCGGACGGGUGAGUAAUGUCUGGGAAACUGCCCGAUGGAGGGGGAUAACUACUGGAAACGGUAGCUAAUACCGCAUACAUCGGAUGUGCCCAGAUGGGAUUCGCUAGUGGGUGGGGUAACGGCUCACCAAGGCGACGAUCCCUAGCUGGUCUGACAGGAUGACCAGCCACACUGGAACUGAGAAACGGUCAAGACGCCAACGGGAGGCAGCAUUGGGGAAUAUUGCACAAUGGGGGAAAGCCGGAUACAGCCAUGCCGCGUGUAUGAAGAAGGCCUUCGGGUUGUAAAGUACUUUCAGCGAGGAGGCGUUACUCGCAGAAAAAGCACCGGCUAACUCCGUGCCAGCAGCCGCGGUAAUAC